rnacentral:rRNA from 2 species
ACUGAUUGAUGGUGCUUGCACCUGAUUGACGAUGGAUCACCAGUGAGUGGCGGACGGGUGAGUAACACGUAGGUAACCUGCCCCGGAGCGGGGGAUAACAUUUGGAAACAGAUGCUAAUACCGCAUAACAACAAAAGCCACAUGGCUUUUGUUUGAAAGAUGGCUUUGGCUAUCACUCUGGGAUGGACCUGCGGUGCAUUAGCUAGUUGGUAAGGUAACGGCUUACCAAGGCGAUGAUGCAUAGCCGAGUUGAGAGACUGAUCGGCCACAAUGGAACUGAGACACGGUCCAUACUCCUACGGGAGGCAGCAGUAGGGAAUCUUCCACAAUGGGCGCAAGCCUGAUGG